rnacentral:rRNA from 1 species
UACGGAGGGGGCAAGCGUUAUUCGGAAUCAUUGGGCGUAAAGGGCGCGUAGGCGGCCUGGCAAGUCAAAGGUGAAAUCCCUCGGCCCAACCGAGGAACCGCCUUUGAAACUGCAAGGCUUGAGGCCGGGAGAGGGUAGCGGAAUUCCCAGUGUAGCGGUGAAAUGCGUAGAUAUUGGGAGGAACACCAGUGGCGAAGGCGGCUACCUGGACCGGUUCUGACGCUGAGGCGCGAAAGCGUGGGGAGCAACAGG